rnacentral:rRNA from 1 species
UUUAACUGAGCGUUCAGUUACUUGACGUAGACCCGAAACCGGGCGACCUACCCAUGAGCAGGAUGAAGCGAAAGUAAAAUUUCGUGGAGGUCCGAACCCACGAGCGUUGAAAAGCUCGGGGAUGACUUGUGGGUAGCGGUGAAAUUCCAAUCGAGCCCGGAGAUAGCUGGUUCUCCCCGAAAUAGCUUUAGGGCUAGCCUCAAGGUGAGAGAUACGGAGGUAGAGCACUGAAUGUCCUAGGGGGUAUUGCACCUACCGAAGACUAUCAAACUCCGAAUGCCGUCAUCUUAUACUUGGGAGUCAGACUGUGGGUGAUAAGAUUCAUAGUCGAAAGGGCAACAGCCCAGAUCGUCAGCUAAGGUCCCUAAAUGUAAGUUAAGUGGUAAAGGAUGUGGGAUUGCACAGACAACCAGGAUGUUGGCUUAGAAGCAGCCACUCAUUCAAAGAGUGCGUAAUAGCUCACUGGUCGAGUGAUCCUGCGCCGAAGAUUUCCGGGGCUAAAACUUACUACCGAAGCUACGGCAUCAGUAAUGAUGGGUAGGGGAGCUUCCCAUACGGGUUGAAGCAUGACCGUAAGGACAUGUGGACAGUAUGGGAGUGAGAAUGUUGGCAUGAGUAGCGAGAUGUGGGUGAGAAUCCCACAGGCCGUAAACCCAAGGUUUCCAGGGGAAGGUUCGUCCGCCCUGGGUUAGUCGGGACCUAAGCUGAGGCCGAAAGGCGUAGGUGAUGGACAACAGGUUGAUAUUCCUGUACUACCGAUAACCGUUUGAGAGAUGGGAUGACACAGUAGGAUAAGCUAAGCACACUGUUGGUUAUGUGUGCCCAAGCAUUGAGGCAGUCAAAGUAGGCAAAUCCGCUUUGAUAAUGCUGGGAUGUGAUGGGGAGCGAAAUUUAGUAGCGAAGUAGCUGAUUUCACACUGUCAAGAAAAGUCUCUAUCGAGGUUAAAGGUACCCGUACCGCAAACCGACACAGGUGGGUGAGGAGAGUAUCCUAAGGCCAGCGAGAGAACUGUUGUUAAGGAACUCGGCAAAAUGACCCCGUAACUUAGGGAUAAGGGGUGCCACCAUCAGGUGGCCGCAGAGAAUAGGCCCAAGCGACUGUUUACCAAAAACAUAGGUUUCUGCUAAGUCGCAAGACGAUGUAUAGGAGCUGACGCCUGCCCGGUGCUGGAAGGUUAAGGGGAUCUGUUAGAGCAAUCGAAGCAGUGAACUUAAGCCCCAGUAAACGGCGGCCGUAACUAUAACGGUCCUAAGGUAGCGAAAUUCCUUGUCGGGUAAGUUCCGACCCGCACGAAAGGCGUAACGAUUUGGGCACUGUCUCAACAACAGACUCGGUGAAAUUGUAAUUCCGGUGAAGAUGCCGGAUACCUGCGACAGGACGGAAAGACCCCAUGGAGCUUUACUGUAGCUUGACAUUGGGUCUUGGUACUACAUGUACAGGAUAGGUGGGAGGCUUUGAAACCAGGACGCCAGUUUUGGCGGAGCCAUCCUUGGGAUACCACCCUUGUA